GCCUGAGUGGCACAGCGGUUGGGCGUCUGCCUUUAGCUCAGGGCGUGAUCCCGGUGUUGUGGGAUCGAGCCCCACAUCAGGCU
rnacentral:tRNA from 1 species